rnacentral:tRNA from 1 species
GACUGCUUGGCGCAAUGGUAGCGCGUUCGACGCCAGAUCGAAAGGUUGAGUGUUCGAUCCGCUCACCGUCCA